AGGUGUAGAGUGAGUUAUCUGUUCCUUUAGGUUGGCAGGCCUAAAGGGCAAAUGUACGCAUUGCCUCAAGGCAUACUGCCCG
rfam:Prochlorococcus marinus subsp. marinus str. CCMP1375 complete genome.